AUCUGUGGUGUUGUGUCGGCAAUGAAUCCAAUGAUUUUUCGAUAAAGAGUAAAUAUUCUUGAAUUUUGGUUACGCUGAUCAUGGUGUAAAUUCAUAAUUUGUGUUUUAUAACACAUUCAUAUGAAAGUAUUACGAGGAUGUAAAUACGAGGUCGCAGUAUUAUCUUCAGUUUAGUUAUGUCUUCACCAACACAUGCCAAGACAGAAUCCAAGGAACAGGAGGUUCCUGAAAAGGCAAAGGCUGCUGUUCUUGUUGAAAGUGUCCCCCUGCCUGCUGGAACACCAAUUGUGAAAGGUUAUGACUGGAAUAAGGGGGUCAGUUAUAAAGCACUUCUUGAAACAUAUCGUUUCUGUGGAUUUCAAGCAACAAAUUUUGGCUUAGCAGUGGAAGAAAUCAAUAAAAUGUUGUCUUGCCGUGCCAUCCCAUUGUCUGAAGACUUGGAAGAUGUAUUAGAAGAAGAUGAAUUUAUUCGACGAAAUAGCAACUGCACAAUCUUCUUAGGCUUCACUUCCAACAUGGUUUCUGCUGGAAUUCGUGAUACAAUCUGCUUUCUAGUCCAACAUCACAUGGUAGACUGUAUUGUAACUACAGCAGGAGGUGUAGAAGAAGAUUUAAUAAAAUGUCUUGCUCCAACAUACAUCGGUGAUUUCCAUUUGGAAGGGCGCAAAUUAAGAGAAAAAGGAAUUAACCGGAUUGGGAAUCUUCUAGUACCUAAUGAAAACUACUGCCUUUUUGAAGAUUGGGUGAUGCCACGUUUAGAUGCUAUGUUGGAAGAACAGAAAGAGAAGGGAACACUCUGGACUCCAUCGAAAGUUAUUGCAAAAUUAGGAGAAGAGAUUGGUGAUCCAAGUUCCAUCUGUUACUGGGCUGCAAAAAAUAAAAUUCCUGUGUUUAGUCCAGCCCUUACAGAUGGUAGCCUUGGAGAUAUGAUGUAUUUCCACUCAUACCGUAAUCCUGGAUUGGUGCUUGAUAUUAUCCAAGAUCUUCGCCGUUUAAAUACAAUGGCAGUAAAAGCUGCAAAUACAGGAAUGGUUAUAAUAGGUGGAGGAGUGAUAAAGCACCAUAUCUGCAAUGCUAAUCUGAUGGUUUUGGUUGUUGGAAAGAUAUCUCUGAUCCCUACAGAGGAAUGGAGCUGAUUAUGCAGUUUUUAUCAACACAGCAUCUGAGUUUGAUGGCAGCGAUAGUGGGGCUCGUCCAGAUGAGGCUAUCUCAUGGGGAAAGAUCAAGAAGGAUGCUUCUCCUGUCAAGGUGUAUUCUGAGGCAAGUCUAGUGUUUCCUCUCUUAGUGGGAGAAACAUUUGCAAAGCGAUAUCAUGCUACAAAGAUCAAAGCUGAAUCAGAUGUAUAACCUUGUAUAGCCCUAUAAUUGUAUUUAAAACUACAUGUACGCAUGUGUUCAGUCAGAACAUAAAUUGGCACAGAAAUAAAAUACCAUUUGCUCAUACAUAAA